rnacentral:rRNA from 1 species
GGGGAAUCUUGCGCAAUGGGCGAAAGCCUGACGCAGCGACGCCGCGUGAGCGAUGACGGCCUUCGGGUUGUAAAGCUCUGUGGGGAGAGAAGAAUAAGGGUUGGCUAACAUCCAGCUCGAUGACGGUAUCUCCUUAGCAAGCACCGGCUAACUCUGUGCCAGCAGCCGCGGUAAGACAGAGGGUGCAAACGUUGUUCGGAAUCACUGGGCGUAAAGCGCGUGUAGGCGGUCCUGCAAGUCGGAUGUGAAAUCCCACGGCUCAACCAUGGAAGUGCAUUCGAAACUGCUUGACUAGAGUCCUGGAGAGGAAGGUGGAAUACUCGGUGUAGAGGUGAAAUUCGUAGAUAUCGAGUGGAACAUCGGUGGCGAAGGCGGCCUUCUGGACAGUGACUGACGCUGAAACGCGAAAGCGUGGGGAGCAAAC